GACGAACGCUGGCGGCGUGCUUAACACAUGCAAGUCGAACGAUGAACCCGGAGCUUGCUCUGGGGGAUUAGUGGCGAACGGGUGAGUAACACGUGAGUAACCUGCCCUGGACUCUGGGAUAAGCGUUGGAAACGACGUCUAAUACCGGAUAGGACCUUGGAUCGCAUGAUCUGGGGUGGAAAGUUUUUUCGGCCUGGGAUGGACUCGCGGCCUAUCAGCUUGUUGGUGAGGUAAUGGCUCACCAAGGCGUCGACGGGUAGCCGGCCUGAGAGGGUGACCGGCCACACUGGGACUGAGACACGGCCCAGACUCCUACGGGAGGCAGCAGUGGGGAAUAUUGCACAAUGGGCGAAAGCCUGAUGCAGCAACGCCGCGUGCGGGAUGACGGCCGUCGGGUUGUAAACCGCUUUUAGUAGGGAAGAAGGGCUUCGGCUUGACGGUACCUGCAGAAAAAGGACCGGCUAACUACGUG
rnacentral:rRNA from 1 species